GCCCUGCUGACGAGUCCCAAACAGGACGAAACAGUUGUCCAGUGC
rnacentral:hammerhead_ribozyme from 1 species